GUAAUAUAAGAUACAGUUUUUUAUCUUUUAACUAAAAAAGCUAAGAAACGUCUCUUAAAUAAGAGAUAUAAGAGACGUCUCUUAGCCUUUUUUAGUUAAAAGCUAAAAAACCGUAUCUUAUAUUAC
rfam:Brassica napus, WGS project CCCW01000000 data, contig: 12285